GAAGUUGGCCAGACAGUCGCUGCCUUAUCCUUUUAGGUUGAGGGAGAGGAAAGUCCGGGCUCCACAGGGCAAGGUGCCAGAUAACGUCUGGGGGGCGUAAGCCUACGGAAAGUGCCGCAGAAAAGAUACCGCCGAUGGCAGUGCAAACUGUACAGGUAAGGGUGAAAAGGUGCGGUAAGAGCGCACCGCGCGUCUGGUAACAGCACGUGGCAGGGUAAACCCCACUUGGAGCAAGACCAAAUAGGAACCCUAAGGUGCGGCCCGCACUGGGUUCGGGUAGGUUGCUGGAGGUAUACGGUGACGUAUAUCCUAGAGGAAUGACUGUCCACGACAGAACCCGGCUUAUCGGCUAACUUCCGCC
rnacentral:RNase_P_RNA from 1 species